UUUUUUCCCUCUUUCUCUACCUUCGUCUAUGUCUUUCUCCAAUAAACACACAGGACAAUAAACACACAGAACAAAACAAUAAACACACAGAACAAAACAAUAAACACACAGAACAAAACAAUAAACACACAGAACAAAACAAUAAACACACAGGACAAAACAAUAAACACACAGGACAAAACAAUAAACACAGGACAAUAAACACACAGGACAAAACAAUAAACACAGGACAAUAAACACACAGGACAAAACAAUAAACACAGGACAAUAAACACACAGGACAAAACAAUAAAUACACAGGACAAUAAAUACACAGGACAAAACAAUAAACACACAGGACAAAACAAUAAACACACAGGACAAAACAAUAAAUACACAGGACAAUAAAUACACAGGACAAAACAAUAAAUACACAGGACAAUAAAUACACAGGACAAAACAAUAAAUACACAGGACAAAACAAUAAAUACACAGGACAAUAAAUACACAGGACAAAACAAUAAACACACAGGACAAAACAAUAAACACACAGGACAAUAAACACACAGGACAAA
ensembl:lncRNA